GAUGAACGCUGGCGGCGUGCUUAACACAUGCAAGUCGAACGGGAAACAUUUUAUUGAAGCUUCGGCAGAUUUAGAUUGUUUCUAGUGGCGGACGGGUGAGUAACGCGUGGGUAACCUGCCUUAUACCGGGGGAUAACAGCCAGAAAUGACUGCUAAUACCGCAUAAGCGCACAGAACCGCAUGGUUCCGUGUGAAAAACUCCGGUGGUAUAAGAUGGACCCGCGUUGGAUUAGCUAGUUGGCAGGGCAGCGGCCUACCAAGGCGACGAUCCAUAGCCGGCCUGAGAGGGUGAACGGCCACAUUGGGACUGAGACACGGCCCAGACUCCUACGGGAGGCAGCAGUGGGGAAUAUUGCACAAUGGGGGAAACCCUGAUGCAGCGACGCCGCGUGAAGGAAGAAGUAUCUCGGUAUGUAAACUUUUAUCAGCAGGGAAGAUAAUGACGGUAC
rnacentral:rRNA from 1 species